rnacentral:lncRNA from 1 species
GACAUUGUCAGAGGCAGGCGUAAAGGUUUGAGGGUAAGAGAGAACCAGAGACAGACAAAGAUUAGAGAGACCGUGAGAGGGCAGUGAGAGACAGACACUGAUUGAUGGUGACAGACAAUGAGAGUGGUGAUAAGCUGGAAAGACAGCAUAGAAAUAAGAAAACGGUCUUAGACCAUCACUUAAAACAGAUAUUCACCAACACAUUAGACAGUCAGGAACACAUUUGAUACUGACAGUCAUUAGACUAUCCCUGCUGCAUUAGACAGUGGUAGAGCUUUAAGACAGCUAUGUUUAUAUUAGACAGUACCUGCUAAAAUUAGACAGUGACAGAGCUAUUUGACAGCCCAGUUUACAUUAGACAGUCACAGACCCAUUAGACGGCUUACUUUUCAUUAGAGGGUGACCGUGUCAUUAAACAUUUUUCCUUUACAUUAGACAGUCACAGACCCAUUAGAUGGCUCACUUUUCAUUAGAUAGUGACAGUGCCAUUAAACAUCUCCCUUCACAUUAGACAGUCACAGACCCAUUAGACGGCUCAUUUUUCAUUAGAUAGUGACAGUGCCAUUAAACAUCUCCCUUCACAUUAGACAGUCACAGACCCAUUAGACGGCUCAUUUUUCAUUAGAUAGUGACAGUGCCAUUAAACAUCUCCCCUUUACAUUAGACAGUCGCAGACCCAUUAGAUGGCUCACUUUUCAUUAGAGAGUAACCGUGCCAUUAAACAUCUCUCCUUUACAUUAGACAGUCAGAGACCCAUUAGACGGCUCACUUUUCAUUAGAGGGUGACCGUGUCAUUAAACAUCUCUCCUUUACAUUAGACAGUCAGAGACCCAUUAGACGGCUCACUUUUCAUUAGAGGGUGACCGUGUCAUUAAACAUCUCUCCUUUACAUUAGUCACAGACCCAUUAGACGGCUCACUUUUCAUUAGAGAGUGACCGUGUCAUUAAACAUCUCUCCUUUACAUUAGACAGUAACAGACCCAUUAGACGGCUCACUUUUUAUUAGAGAGUGACCGUGUCAUUAAACAUCUCUCCUUUACAUUAGACAGUCAGAGACCUAUUAGACGGCUCACUUUUCAUUAGAGGGUGACCGUGUCAUUAAACAUCUCUCCUUUACAUUAGACAGUCAGAGACCCAUUAGACGGCUCACUUUUCAUUAGAGGGUGACCGUGUCAUUAAACAUCUCUCCUUUACAUUAGACAGUCAGAGACCCAUUAGACGCCUCACUUUUCAAUAGAAAACACAGAGCCAUAAGACGGCCCACUAUAGAAUAGACAGCCCCCUUUACAUUUGAGAUGCUUCCUGCAGUUAUUGUUACACGGAAGGCAGAGGGGCCCCCUUUAAAAUACUGGCUCGCACUUCUAUCAGGAGACACAGAGACCAUUUGUUUGCUACUAGGGGACUCUAAUAGUCUUGUUCACCCCAACUCUGUCUUUGAUACGAGUGACCUGGAGGAGUGGAAGAAUUAUCGAUACAACACCACAGCUCUCAGUAGGUUACCCCACAAACACAUUAUGGAGAACCCCAAAUUAAAUAACUUGUCGUGACCCUUGUUCUUUCUUCUCAGGGAUAUGGUCGCUGACGUAUGAGGAGGAGUUUACCUGCCCUCUGUUUGUCACUGCUAACCGCGGUUAUGCAGACUGUGUCCAGCUGCUGCUCAGACUGGGGGCAGAUGUUGAGUUUUCUCCUGGCGGGGAGAGCGCUCUGCAUGGAGCUUGUGAGAACGCACACUUAGAGUGUGUAAAAAUCCUCCUACGCCAUGGAGCCAAUCCUAACGCUGAGUCCCAGGAUGGAACCCUAC